AGAGUCUGCUCUAUGGACUUGGGUGGAGCCCGUGGGUUCCUGCUGAUUACCAGGUCCAGCUUGUUACCGGAUUCUGCUAUGAGCGGCACGACGAGGCAGCAGUCAAAGUCUCUCGUUCGGACAUGAUUCACCUGAAAGUUGACAGUUUUGGCGACCACUAUGAAGGGACCCAGAGCAGACUUCUCUCCUUCACCUGAACUCGACAAGGAUCCGGAGCCUCGGUACCAGCAGAGGCCUCUUGGGCCCACCUGCCACCUCGGAGAGUCCAGAGGAAUUUGGAUUUAUCAAAAGAAUAAUAGUAAUUUGAUGCGAUAAAAUUCUUAAACGGAACACAAAUGAGAGACUGGAAACUCUUAGGUCCCCAGUGGCUCUAUCAGAUAAUAGGAAGAUCAUCUCCUAACAGAUACAGGAAUCUCAAGUUAGAAAGAGCCCCUUCACUGGACUGGCCUAUAGAGGACUGCUCACCUUGAAACAAUGCUCAAAUGGAGAAGAAGCUACCAGACCAGGAUGAGAAGACGACGACAUCUGAGGUAGACAGCUGACCCAAGACACCGGACCAGGCCUGUGUACCAAUUACUUUGAUAAUUGCUCAUACCUUUGCUUAUGAACUAAUCCAAUUGUUAGGUUUAUGGUCAGUUACCUGUAUCUAGCACUUCUGUGUUACCUUGGUGGGUUUCCCUACUCCAAGGCUCUAACUAGAUAGCCCUCAGGAAAUUAAUUCUGGAAAAAAAAAUUAUAGUUCUAUUUAGGCCGCUGUUGACAUUACAAGGUGAGAGCCCUCACCUGGCCAAUUACUAAUACCUGCUCUGAGCCUGGCCAUAAAUAUAAACUUUCUUAUAAGGUCACUCAAGCUCAAUCAAGGCAACAGCAGAGUUUCAGCCAAAGAAUAUAACCUCCCUCAAUUACGGAAAGGACUUACAUGGUUAACACCAGGUUAUGGACGUUUAAGUUUAAAGGCUCUCUUAUGUUGGAAAAAAAUUAAACUAUACUAAAGAUAACCAGCCUAAUAACACUAGGAAAUUUGGCUGGGAGUCUCAUGAAUAAUGCCGGUAUAAUGUCUUCCUUGAAGAUAAGGAUUGGUACAGAACAGACCUGGGGGUCAGAUGACCUGGGAAUACACUGAGCUGCACCUAAUGGAAGUUUUCAGCUUAAAUUACUGAUGACUUUACUAAUACUGCUAACUAUAUUUGAAUUUUGCCUGUUUUACAAAAUCGUUGCUUCUUGCAUUACCAACAGUGUGACUGAGCCUCUGAUAAAAUAAUGACUAGAGAACUUGAAACAGUAGACCAAAUACAUAGUUUUGUAUGAGACCAAUGAUUGUAAUGGUGCAACUCUAGAUAUGGGAAGAAGCAACAAGAGGGAAUAUUUUCCUCGAUCAGGAUACAUUAGUGUUUAGUAAUCAACAGGGCCUGAUCCCUGUUGCCGCUCAUAAUUGUUACGUCAACAGAAUCUUCCUCCUGAUCUAGGAAUGAGUUUUCCUAGCACCAUAGGACAAAACUGGUCAUGAAAUGUCUCCCAAAAUUACUGGUCGAAUUUAGGAUGAAGGGGGAGCACUGUAAACCAAAAAUACCGCAAACUCUAUCAGUAAACACAGAAUACUGAAACCAUCAAGCCAUCAGCGGCUGCCGCCACCCCCCAGUGAAGACAAGCCUGCAGCCCGGCCUCUGCAGCCACUCACAAUGGUGCCCUCUGAGGGGACUCAGAAUAAGAAAGGACAGGAUACGGGCC